CUUACCUGGCAGCCCAAGUGGAGCUUCACCCACUUAAUUCACGACGCUAAGUUACCGCUGGAAUGGCUACCGUUAAAGGAAAAUCUUUUAUGAUCGGCUGCAAUAUGGAACAAGUAUCUUUGCAUUUUCUACCUGUCACAUUUAGAAAAGAGCUGCCGUGGCUUCAUUUUAUUUUUGCUUGCAAUGUCACGGCGAUGUUGCCAAAUACAGUUAGUUGUAGUUUUUGCAAAUCAGUUUAGGACGAAUUCCUUUGGCAAAAAUUACCAAAUGACUUGGACAGAAGGAAGGUUCUGUUCCUGACAAAUCUGUAGAUAAUGAUGAUGAUGAUGAUGAUGAUGUUGAAUUCACUGGAAAUGAAGGGAGAACUGAAUGUGUUUUGCUCCUGAUGAGAGCCUCUGUCUGGAGUUAUAGUAUAAGCAACUUGGACUGCUUAAUGUCUAGGCAGGUUUUGUAUUUGCUGAACCGGAGCAGAGAAGCCAUAUUCCCAAAAGUAAGGAAUGCAAGCAGCUCAAGCAGCAAGGGAAGAAUCCUCAUUCAUCACAGUGCUGCACCAGAGCUUCCUGUUGCAGAACCUGUCAGCUGCUGUCAGGUUCUGUGUCUUAGUGAGACUGACGGUUGGAAGAGUUGCUGCGGAACCUGCUGUGGAAGUGGAUGAGAAUUCUGCAGCUGGCUGAACCGGCUUCCUUCUUGUAAAACGGCAAAGGGCUGUGAGAUUUUCUCCAGUUAUUCUGCCUCUGUGCCCCCCAUGUGCCUUCACAGGCUUUCUUUCUGUUGAACAUUAAAAAGACCACCAUUUCUUUCA